UGUAAACUAUCUAGUCAGCGAGCUUACCUAUGCAUUGUGACGUCAUAAACUUGGCAGCGACGUCAUGUUAGUCCUUCACAAGCCGCGAUGGCUGCUUAUUUUGACACAAUAACACAGACUUUCACAGCGCUUGAGACUUCAUGUAAUAACAGUAUGGUCCUAUGGAUUUCAGUACCAAAACUGAUUUUCUACCGUUUUUCUUCCAAGAAAGUUCUGAACAGCUGAAUCCUGGAUCAGCCUAGAUGUUAUUUCACUGGAUUAUUUAAUGAAUAUUACUCUACUGAGUUACCUGGUUACAUGGAUCAGCUAAGAUGUUGUUUCACUGGAUUAUUUAAUUGGGCAUAUAAUUGGAUAAUUCUGUCCUCAACCUGGAAGAUAUGUUUUAUUCCUAACCAUCUAUAAUCCAUUCUCUAUGAAGUUCAGCCUGUCUGCCCAAAUUCCUUUGGAAAUACAUAGUUAGUCAACCAACAUA